rnacentral:rRNA from 1 species
ACAUCGAGGUCGCAAACAAUUAUUUUAAUAAGGGCUUAAAUAAUUAUAACGCUGUUAUCCCUAGAGUACCUUAUUCGUCUAAUUUAAUAAAGAUCAUUGUUAAUAUAAAUAGUCCUAUUUAAAUUUACCCCAAAUAAACUUGUGUACAAUUAUUAAUUCAUUAAUUAAGUAAAGGUUCAUAGGGCUUCUCGUCA